UACGGAGGGUGCAAGCGUUAUCCGGAUUCACUGGGUUUAAAGGGUGCGUAGGUGGGUAGGUAAGUCAGUGGUGAAAUCUCCGAGCUUAACUCGGAAACUGCCGUUGAUACUAUUUGUCUUGAAUAUUGUGGAGGUAAGCGGAAUAUGUCAUGUAGCGGUGAAAUGCUUAGAUAUGACAUAGAACACCAAUUGCGAAGGCAGCUUACUACACAACGAUUGACGCUGAGGCACGAAAGCGUGGGGAUCAAACAGG
rnacentral:rRNA from 1 species